GAUUACUGGCUCAGAUUGAACGCUGGCGGCGUGCUUAACACAUGCAAGUCGCGCGUGAAAGGACUUCGGUCCGAGUAAAGCGGCGCACGGGUGAGUAACGCGUGGAUGAUCUACCCAUGAGUUAGGAAUAACGGCUGGAAACGGUCGCUAAUACCAAAUACGCUCCGAUUUCAACUUCGGGGGGAAAGGUGGCCUCUGCUUGCAAGCUACUGCUCAUGGAUGAGUCCGCGUCCCAUUAGCUAGUUGGUGGGGUAACGGCCCACCAAGGCGACGAUGGGUAGCCGGUCUGAGAGGAUGACCGGCCACACUGGGACUGGAACACGGCCCAGACUCCUACGGGAGGCAGCAGUGGGGAAUAUUGCGCAAUGGGCGAAAGCCUGACGCAGCGACGCCGCGUGAGGGAUGAAGGUCCUCGGAUCGUAAACCUCUGUCAGGAGGGAAGAACCGCCACGGUGCUAAUCAGCCGUGGUCUGACGGUACCUCCAAAGGAAGCACCGGCUAACUCCGUGCCAGCAGCCGC
rnacentral:rRNA from 1 species